rnacentral:rRNA from 1 species
CCUGGCGGCCGUAGCGCGGUGGUCCCACCUGACCCCAUGCCGAACUCAGAAGUGAAACGCCGUAGCGCCGAUGGUAGUGUGGGGACUCCCCAU